ensembl:lncRNA GORAB-AS1 GORAB antisense RNA 1
CAGUAUUUGAUGGGUCUGAAUGAAAAUCUGAUGAAACAGAUGUUACUUGAAGCUGAGUGACUUUCUCAGGGUCAAGCAAAUAAGUAAAUGGAGGAGCCAGAAUUAUACCCCAGGAUCCCCAUCACAAGGAGGGGAGGGCUACCAUCCCAGCUGCAAACUCUCAUUCAAGGUUUAUGCUGCAGCCAGCAGUGUCCUUGGAGUCUAGUUCAAAGCUGAAGAGAGUGAACCAUGGAACUGGGAGCCAUUGGCGGAGAGGCUGGCCUGAAGGAAGGGAAGUGUUUCAGCCAGAAUGUACUGACGCACAACCAGGAAACCACAAGACUGGUGAGAACCUUUCCAAAACUGAGCUUUAUGAUCAAAAGAGGUACAGGAAACAGCUCUGCCAAGAGUCCUUUCUGCUCCUGGCUGGAACCCUGAGCUUCUGAGGCUCUCUGAGUCAACUCUCUGAACAGAUGCUGUCACCCAAGGAACCAUCACUAAAGCAUUUUUUUGCUUUGCUCUGAGGUGGCCUCACUGGUGGGUGCAAGUGAGUUACUGUCUCUUUUUCUCUUUCUUGUUUCUUUCUUUUGACAGAAGUUGCCAUGUGAUUACUCAAUUCUGAAUUUUAGAGGCCAUAGGUUACUGCAUUUAUGCCCUUUGCCAACUGACUAUUGUUUGGUGCUGGGCCUGCAUACAAACACGACAUCCCCAAACUCUUAUCAAUACCUAGAUCACCUGAUGUGAAUCUAUCAAUACCCUGGACUUAACAGGGUAUUGAAGGAAAGAGAACCGGCAAUUCCUUCAUUUCUUACAUCCCAGCCAGUAGUCCUUCUCCCAGGCUAGUCUUCCUUUUGUUUCCCCUAAGAAUGACUCAACUAGGAAUUGCAUUCUGAUCCCUGUCACAGAUAUAAAUCUUGUCUGGAUACAAGGUCAAAAUAAUUGUGUUCCUGUGGAUUCUUUUUCUUUUUUCAACCAGAGUAACUACCAGUUGCCAUGAAAUAAAUCACAUCAUCAUAUGGCAGAUCCAGCUAAUAGCUGAGACUGGCAGGAUAACUGAACCGUGUACUCAGAGCUAAAUGAUGGAGAAAUUGGACUGGCCAUGGAGCACUUCAAAUUGAUUGCUUAGUAAUGGGAUAUUUUUCCUGGAAAGACAACAGAAUACUUCUGAAUUGUUGGUUCUGUCAUGGGUACAGGCUCCCAUGUACAGGAAAAUAAAGAAAGUGUGAUGAAUUUUUCAUCUGGCCUUCUGCCUACUUUCUUGCUUUCUGCAUGUCUCCAUUUUUAGUCUGUAAGCCCUGCCUAGAUGACCAAUCACUAUUGCCCAUGUGGCAUAAAACCUACAAUUUAACUAUACUUCUUACCAAACUCUCAGCAAGUAUGAGGUAGCCAACAGCCUUUUCAAGAUAAUGACUGAGUCUUAGCUUAGGUUUCAGUCAUUUUAGGAAACAUAAAAAAUUCAAUGGUGGGAGAUCAUACACACUCUGCAAAGAUGUCAGAAGUCAAGUUUUGGGAGAGUCCACACACAAACUGAGCAGUGAUGGUAAAAUAUAUUUUUGAAAUAUUUCUCCUCUGUGACUGUUAUGUGAAGUAGAGCAAACACAUUGUGCUGCAGUGCUCUUUGGGACAUGCCUUUUUUGGGAAGUGCUAACUUUAUACUCUGCUGACACCAAACAUUUGAAUAUAAAACCUUAUUUUUUUCUCUCACUCUGCUCCACUUUUGGCUCAGCUUAUUCUACCAAAACACACUUCAAAAGACUUCUUUAUAGAAAGAAUGUUUCAAAAAUAUAAUAUUUCCAUCUGUUAUUUCAAUAAUACAUGCUCUGGGACUCUCUUUAUGAACCACUUUCCUUUCUUUGCUCCCAUUUAGAUGUAUAAAUAUUUGAUUGUAAAGCUCUAAGGAAUAGUCAGCCAAUCGGGUCACUGAAUUGUGAACAUUCCUAACCCUAUAAUUUUGUCUGUAGCAGGCACCUCCUGCUGUGGAACUAACUGCUAAGGGAUUAUAGCAAUGUAAUCCUCAGACUGUUCCAUCUCAAGGUUACUCUGAAGUGGAGGGAAGGAAGCCGUUUUAAUUUUGAUAAAAUAAACUUUAUUUUGUAACUUU